ensembl:lncRNA
GAAUUCUCCAGACCAGAAUACUGGAGUGGGUAGCCUUUCCCUUCUCCUGGGGAUCUUCCCAACCAAAGGAUCAAACCCAGGUCUGCUGCAUUCUGGCAUGAUUGUCAGCUGUAUGAGGAGACUGGCCAGCCAACUAGGCCUGGGAAAGAAGUAAUUAACGAGUCUCUGGAAUGUCUGGGUACAGUUGAACUAGCAGGGCCGGUGAUUGGCGGUCACAUGCAGUGGGAAGAGAAUUGGAUGAAGAUUCAGAACACUUGGAUUCUAUUCUCAAUUUAACUACUCACGUAUCCAGUGACCUUGGGAAAAGUAGACCUCUAUACGUGUAAAAUGGAGAUAUUAACUACCUUGAAGACUUGUUGUACAGAGUAAAUGAAAAAAAUCAUGAAGUGCUGUUUGAACCUAGGACAUAUUUAACACUUGCAGAUGUCAUGUAUCGUCUGUACAGGAUCCGCUUUUGUGAAAUCAUGGACAGUUUCUGCAAGAUGGAAAGCAUAAAUCAGUUUGCAUUGCUACCUGGGAAAGGAGCGGAAAAAAUCAUUAAGCAACUAAUUCCAACAAUUUAAAAGAACCAAGAGUUUGGGAAGCAACCCAUGUGGCUUUAGGAAGAUCAAGUGGUGUCUUACCAAGUUUGGUAUUUACCCUCUAUAAUCAACGAAAAGACCCAAAGAUAAGGAACUGACAGUAGAAUUCUGCAUGAUUGUCAAGAUAGUGUAGGUUGAGCUGCUCAAAACUUUUUGGCAUAUGUGUGAUUGUCAUUACUUAUAUUGUGUCCUGUAUUAAAAGAUAGUAAAUAAGUAGGCAAGACUCCAACCUGCAUGACCUUUCCUGAGUUUGAAAGAGCAGAUUCAAACAGUUGCUAAUCAAUGGAAGAGCAGCCAUGAAACCAACUGCAGCAAGAUUAAAGGGACCAGAGAAGCUUAUCAAGAUUAGGAGACUACCACCUGAGACCCUGCACACUCCCUCAUCUUCCCAGGAACACCAUCCUUUUGAAACUUUGCAGAAGAAAGAUGAAAGAAUGUUAUUGCCUUGAUCCUUAUUGCAUACCCCUGAACAAAUAAACUCUCUCUAUUCCCCAGUUCUUGAGGUGCUAGCCUACUGUGUUCCCCCUUUGUCUGGCAAAGAAAUAAAGCCACUCUUUUCUUCCCCU